GAGGGUAUAGCUCAAGCAGUAGAGUGCAUGCUUAGCAUGCAUGAGGUCCUGGGUUCAAUCCCCAGUAUCUCCU
rfam:Camelus ferus unplaced genomic scaffold scaffold904, whole genome shotgun sequence.